rnacentral:rRNA from 1 species
ACAAGCUUGAGAAACGGCUAGUAGGACUAAGGUCUGCAGCAGGCGCGAAACUUACACAAUGCUAGAUUUCAAUUAGCGAUGUAGUGAAGAAAAAUAACGAUGUACUUACAUUUAAACAUGUUAGUAUAAUUGGAAUGAGACGACUAUAAACCAGUUAGUCGAGUAACAAAUGGAGGGCAAGUCUGGUGCCAGCAGCCGCGGUAAUUCCAGCUCCAUUAGCAUACAUUAAAGUUGUUGCGGUUAAAAAGCUCGUAGUUGAAUUUUAGGCGGGCUCUAUUGGGGUGUAGUCGUUAAGGCGUUGGUUGAGCCCUAAAAAGCUCUCCUCCGCUGGCUGCAUCUUCCAUUAGGAACCCGCUGUUUCGUCACUUCAUUGAGUGCGAAGCGGGCUGGAAUAGGAUUUAAACUUCGCGUUUGUCCCAUUACAGCAUGUUUACCUUGAGAAAAUUAGAGUGCUCACAGCAGGCAGUUGGGGUGUAAAAGCUCCUUUAUGCUUGAAUAAUGUUGCAUGGAAUAAUAGAAUACGGCCUCGGUUCUAUUCUGUUGGUCUUAUAGAACAACAAACAAGUUGGUUAAAGCGAUCAAAAGUCGGUUUUAGAUGUGGCUUUAGAGGCGUUUUGUAUAUGUUGGUGCACUGGCCAACUCUGACUGGUUGUGUUACCUGGGGCCUUAAAAUCUCAGCGUCUCGCCAUCAGAGCUGCGCUCUCUCCUAACUAUCUCAGCUAACCUACUAAAACCAUUAAAGCAUCUCUAGCUUAAACUAGCUUUCUAAUCAACUGAAGCAAUGGUUAAAAGAAAUAGUCGCGGCGGCAUCAGUACUGCAUCGUGAGAA